AUUGAACGCUGGCGGCAGGCCUAACACAUGCAAGUCGAGCGAGCGGCGGACGGGUGAGUAAUGUCUGGGAAACUGCCUGAUGGAGGGGGAUAUCUACUGGAAACGGUAGCUAAUACCGCAUACCAUCAGAUGUGCCCAGAUGGGAUUAGCUAGGAGGUGGGGUAAUGGCUCACCUAGGCGACGAUCCCUAGCUGGCCUGAGAGGAUGACCAGCCACACUGGAACUGAGACACGGUCCAGACUCCUACGGUAGGCAGCAGUGGGAAAUAUUGCAAAAUGGGGGCAGGCCUGAUGCAGCCAGGCCGCGUGUGUGAAGAAGGCCUUCGGGUUGUAAAGCACUUUCAGCGGGGAGGCGUUACCCGCAGAAGAAGCACCGGCUAACUCCGUGCCAGCCGCCGCGGUAAUUC
rnacentral:rRNA from 1 species